rnacentral:rRNA from 1 species
AACGAACGCUGGCGGCAUGCCUAACACAUGCAAGUCGAACGAAGUCUUCGGACUUAGUGGCGCACGGGUGCGUAACGCGUGGGAAUCUGCCCUUGGGUGCGGAAUAACUUCUCGAAAGGGAUGCUAAUACCGCAUAAUGUCGUAAGACCAAAGAUUUAUCGCCCAAGGAUGAGCCCGCGUAAGAUUAGCUAGUUGGUGGGGUAAAAGCCUACCAAGGCGACGAUCUUUAGCUGGUCUGAGAGGAUGAUCAGCCACACUGGGACUGAGACACGGCCCAGACUCCUACGGGAGGCAGCAGUGGGGAAUAUUGGACAAUGGGCGAAAGCCUGAUCCAGCCAUGCCGCGUGAGUGAUGAAGGCCUUAGGGUUGUAAAGCUCUUUCGCCAGGGAAGAUAAUGACGGUACCUGGAAAGAAGCCUCGGCUAACUCCGUGCCAGCAGCCGCGGUAAU